AAAUCCACAUUAAUGUCCGUUGAUUGCCGCCUAGAAAGUUGAUGACAAACCUUGACUUGCAAUUUCUCCUUCUCCAACCAUUAAUUCUCAUUCAAACCUUGUGUACAGCUCCACCUUUAAGUCCUCAACUUACCACGUCAAAUUUCACCUUAUUCUAUUUGAUUGAUCUCCAGAUAUUAUAGAAAUCCUAAAUGAUCAUAAAAAUCCGACUUCUGAUACCUCUUUACACUAAUGAUCAAAUAUCUUCUAUCCGUACCAUUAGAUUAACACAAAUUUUUGCAAGCACUUGGCAUACUCAACUAUCUAGACACCUCUAAUAUUUCAAUCAUAGAUGUUUCUCCAAUUUCACAAAACAGUCAAGAAUACUAGCCUUAACUUUAUUGCAAAAAAAAAACCCAAUUCACCAAUACAAACACUGACUUUGUGCAACGA
rnacentral:lncRNA from 1 species